rnacentral:sRNA from 1 species
GGGUAUAUGAGCCGGAAGCUCAAGCGGGUUCCAAUAGCAGGAUCUGGAAGAAUCGAAGGAAGACAUGACGUUAAAAGCUGAGCAAGUUCGCGUAGAGAACAAGACGGCCAGGUGUAAAUUUGAAGGUGCGGAGGUAGCGUAGGAGGGUGGUUGGUUGUGGUUGCGUUUCGUGUGGAUGGAGGGAAAGGGAUCGGGAAAUCCGAGAGAUUAUGGAAGGAAUGUUGUUUAUAAAACAGCUUCAGAUGAAACGGUGUUGUUGUCUGGCGGUCAAUCUUUGGAGGCGCAUCAGACUUAUCGUCCAACAUCGUGGCGGUGGAGAGAGCACAUGUGUUGUAUGCGCGAGGUUGAGUGGGGUGGACAAUGUCGCUGUACGAGUGUACGACGAGUUUCACCAACGAGGCGU